rnacentral:miRNA from 1 species
UCUGAUGCAAGAGCUUGCUAAU